rnacentral:rRNA from 1 species
UACGGAGGGUGCAAGCGUUAAUCGGAAUUACUGGGCGUAAAGCGUGCGCAGGCGGUUUGUUAAGUCUGUUGUGAAAUCCCCGAGCUCAACUUGGGAAUUGCAAUGGAUACUGGCAGGCUGGAGUAUGGUAGAGGAAGGUGGAAUUCCCGGUGUAGCAGUGAAAUGCGUAGAGAUCGGGAGGAACACCAGUGGCGAAGGCAGCCUCCUGGGCCAGCACUGACGCUCAUGCACGAAAGCGUGGGGAGCAAACAGG